rnacentral:rRNA from 1 species
UACGUAUGGUGCAAGCGUUAUCCGGAUUUACUGGGUGUAAAGGGAGCGCAGGCGGCACGGCAAGCCUGAUGUGAAAGCCCGCGGCCCAACCGCGGGACUGCAUUGGGAACUACCGGGCUGGAGUGCCGGAGAGGUAGGCGGAAUUCCUAGUGUAGCGGUGAAAUGCGUAGAUAUUAGGAGGAACACCAGUGGCGAAGGCGGCUUACUGGACGGCAACUGACGCUGAGGCUCGAAAGCGUGGGGAGCAAACAGG